AGAUUGAACGCUGGCGGCAUGCCUAACACAUGCAAGUCGAACGGCAGCGCGGGGGCAACCCUGGCGGCGAGUGGCGGACGGGUGAGGAAUACAUAGGAAUCUACCCUGUCGUGGGGGAUAACGUAGGGAAACUUACGCUAAUACCGCAUACGACCGAGAGGUGAAAGCGGCGGACCGCAAGGCGUCGCGCGACUGGAUGAGCCUAUGUCCGAUUAGCUAGUUGCGGGUAAUGGCCCACCAAGGCGACGAUCGGUAGCUGGUCUGAGAGGAUGAUCAGCCACACUGGAACUGAGACACGGUCCAGACUCCUACGGGAGGCAGCAGUGGGGAAUAUUGGACAAUGGGCGCAAGCCUGAUCCAGCAAUGCCGCGUGGGUGAAGAAGGCCUUCGGUUGUAAAGCCCUUUGUACGGAAGAAAUCCUGUCGUUAAUACCGGCGGGACUGACGGUACCGUAAGAAUAAGCACCGGCUAACUCGUGCCAGCAGCCGC
rnacentral:rRNA from 1 species